rnacentral:lncRNA from 1 species
UUCUAAACAUAUCUAUAGUAUUAUGGACUAGAACUAUGCAGAAAAAUAAACAUCCAGUCAUCUUGCAUUACCUUCAUAAAAAAUGACAUAAUUGAGGUGACUUCAGUACCCCUUUUUGUGUAUACAUCAAGAUUUCUAACAAAAAAUGAUCGAAAACAUAGAGGUUACUUACAGAUCAUGCCAUAGGAGGGCACAUCCUAGUUAAAAACAAAUGUGAAUACAGUGUUUCUUGUUAACCUGGGACAUAUGUAACAAUGGAUGCAUGCACAAUGUAAUAGAAUCAGUCAAUUCUAGCAGCUGCAUAACAUUUUAGCACAUCAAAAGAGCAUAAUACAGGAAAAACGCCAUAAUUAUCAGUUCUUGUUUAAUCUCAACGGGGCAUAAUGUCACAAUUAUUACAUAGAGAUAUAUUGAUCCUAAAUAAGAGUACAUGGAGCAGUAUUGCCAUAAUCUAGCUCCAGAUAGCCCCUUAUAGGACAUGAUCCAUUAAAAAAUGUAGUAGUACAGAUCUGACACUUUCAACCAACUAUGUGUAGAUGGAAGAUCAUAAACAUAGCUAUCUGAAUUUAUAUAAAACCUGACAGAGGUGGCCGAUCAAGAUGAGCUAAUUUCAGAUUAGCCGAGCAGGCGGCCAUGACGGUGCAGUGGCGACCGAGAGGACUUGAAAUUCACCAUGUUCGAUACAUGUAAUACGAGCAGGAGAUACACAUGGACGGCGAUGAUUUUUAGGGCAGGAAAUGAAUAAAUCUCGAGAAGGACACGAACAGCUUGAUGUGGUGAGGAUGAAGGGAAUGGAGAAGAUGAGGAGGAGGGAAACUCAAUCAGGGGCGUUGGCACCAAAUACCUUAGAUGACGGCCAAUGGGAGCGGAGUUGCUCCACUUCUCAACGGGGAUAGCGAUAUGACUACUCUUCUGUGGCGUAGAUGGGCGGAUCCGCAUGCUUCUGGGUAACCGGGCGGUGGUGGCAGCCGCUCUUGAGGAGGUCGCCGAGGUUGAGCGCGUCGUGGCUGCCGACACCUCCUGGCGGCGGAUCUGACCGGGCACCUGGAUCCGUGGAGAGCAAACAGAGAAGCUCAAUCCUUGUCCGUCGGAGGCGGCGGUGUUCAUGCACAACAUCUGGCUGGGGCGCCGUCCGGUGGUGCGUGGGUGCGGGUUGAGGGCGUCGCCUGCUCUACCAAGAUGGAAAAGUAUAUAGAUACGGGAGAUGGGCCGAUGGGCUUAUUUUAUCAGUUUUUAUACCAAUUCAGCGGCAAUGGAAGACAAAACAUGCCCGCUUCGACUAAUUACCAGAGUUCCCCUAAAAAAAGACUAAUUACCAGAGUUUGAUCACAUGAUUUGUGAGAAAAAUUGCUGAGGUGGCAUGCUGUUGAUGUGGAUAGUAUGUAUGUCAAGAGAAAUAAGGUAGUGGGGAUGAGCUAUUUAGGUAUUAUAGAUUAGAAGUAUGAGAUACGGUUUGCAUGGGCUAAAAAAUAAUGUUAGUGGAUGUUGACGUGGCAUACUUGAUGAGGCGGAAUGCUUGGAUGUUAAGAGAAUUCAAGGUAGUGACAAUCAACUAUUUAGGUAUACUAGAUAAAAUGAACCGGCUCAUCAUAAAAUCGUGAAGUGUUAUGUGAUGGAAACGUUCCAGGAACCUUCCACGCUGGUGUGAAGCUUCCGUAUGAUUUUUUCAAGGUGUUUUCCGGUUUUAUUUUUUUAUUUUUCUCUUUGUAUUUUCACUGUUUUUUUUGUUUUUUCUUCAUAUUUUUAUGUUUCUUAGUGUCUUCCAUUUUUCCAGGUUUAUUUUAUUUUUUAUUUUUUAUUUGACCUUUUCACUGGUUGGUGAGGUGAGGUGCAUGGGCGUGGAAAAUUUUACUCGGCGACCGAGAGGUCGAGUAUAUUUACUCCUCACGGCCGCUCGAAGUAAAAUUUGUACUCACCUAGCGGUUAUAUGAGUUCGGCUAGUUCCGAUUUAAAGAAGUAAACCACAAAUUUUACUUCUCUAACCGGUUAUAGGGGGGCCGGUUAGAGUUGCUCUUAGGACUCGAUAUGGGUGAGGCAUAGCUCGCACCCGAUGGGAAGGAUUGUUCGCAUAUGUUGCCUUCGUAAGUGGACGUCAACUCUAUAUCGGCAUCCUCUUUUACAACUAAAACUCCCUUUUUUAUUGAUAUGUGAUAGCAGUUACAUCUUUUAGUAGCAAAGAGGAAGUAAAACAAUCGGGGCAUCAUCAAUCCACUCAUUACGAAAACUAAAUCUAGCCGCACGGGCUAGUUCAUGGGCAACACCAUUUACUUUUCUAGGGCAGGACUCAAAACGAAUUGAACUGAAAUCACAUGCCGAAUGGUAGCAAUCGUUAAUGAUGGCGGCUGCAUUAUUUGCAUAGUGUCCCCCUUGUUCAUAAUCUCUAUUUCUAAUGGACGAGUUGAUUGAAUAGUCCCACCACUUUCGUCUGAUUUUUUUUCGUCCGGUUUAUUUUCGCCUCACCUCCCACCACCACUCCCAUGUUAAUUUUUUCUUCUUCACACUUAAAACCGAAUCGUGUCUGAUACUUCUUCCAUUUAUUCAUGCUUGCUUUGGCAGGUGUCGAUUCAAUCAAUCAUGUAAAUAUUUGGUAAUUAAGAAUUCAUAAAUAAUACCAUAUACAUGAGAUCACUUUUCAAACAAAUCACCUCCCUCUCCAAUUUAUUUCUCCCAUUAAUCUCCUUCCAUCCUAAUAAAGCACGCAUUACAUUCCUAAUUAAGGAAGAAAAUAAAAAAAGAACCUCCACCCGCACGACCCCUCCCACGCCUCCAGUGCGCCGCACCUGCCACCACGUUGCUGCGUGCCACCCCCGCCUCCAGUGCGCUGCCUCCAGUGCCCCGCCACCCACCGCCACGCUGCUGCGUGCCGCCGGGCGUGGCGGCGGCGAUCUCCGGCCAGAUCUGGCUGAGGAUCUUCACCUGCAACUAACAACGCUAUAAGAGGGGCUGAGCAAAGCGAUAACAAGCUCCAAUCUUCACCUGCAACUAACAACGCUAUAAGAGGGGCUGAGCAAAGCGGUAACAUAGCCAAACAACGGUUUGCUAGGACAAGGUGGGUUAGAGGCUUGGUUUAACAACACGGGAGGCAUGAUAAGCAAGUGGUAGGUAUCGCAACAUAGGCAUAGCAAAAGAGCGAGUAACUAGCAAGCAAAGAUAGAAGUGAUUUCGAGGGUAUGGUCAUCUUGCCUGAAAUCCCGCAAGGAAGAAGAACGAGUCCAUGAAGAAGACAAACGGACGUAGUCGAAGGGGUCCUCACAAACGCGACGUUACCGGAACCAACCCGAAGAAGCAACUCCGGAAAGAAGCACACAACAUAGUAAACAAACCACACAUGAACAUGGUAUGAUAUGCGGGAUGCGGUAUGUGAUGCAUAUGCAUGAUUUGGAAAGGAAUGAUUGAACCUGACCUCAACUUGGAAAUUCAAGAGUGCCACUGGAAAGGUGAGGUGAUUUACAGAAUUGAGCAUAGUUAUGAGAAUAUCUGUAUGAUCAUGCGUAUAGGCAUCACGUCCGAGACAAGUAGACCGACUCCUGUCUGCAUCUACUACUAUUACUCCACUCAUCGACCGCUAUCCAGCAUGCAUCUAGAGUAUUAAGUUCAUGAAAACAGAGUAACGCCUUAAGUAAGAUAACAUGAUGUAGAGGGAUAAAUUCAUGCAAUAUGAUAAAAAAAACCAUCUUGUUAUCCUCGAUGGCAACAAUACAAUAUGUGCCUUGCUGCCCCUACUGUCACUGGGAAAGGACACCACAAGAUUGAACCCAAAGCUAAGCACUUCUCCCAUUGCAAGAAAGAUCAAUCUAGUAGGCCAAACCAAAUUGAUAAUUCGAAGAGAUUUGUAAAGAUAAGCAAUCAUACAUAAAAGAACUCAGAGAAGAUUCAAAUAUUGUUCAUAGAUAAUCUUGAUUAUAAACCUACAAUUCAUCGGUCUCAACAAACACACCGCAAAAAGAAGAUUACAUCGAAUAGAUCUCCACAAGAGAGGGGAAGAACAUUAUAUUGAGAUCCAAAAAGAGAGAAGAAGCCAUCUAGCUAAUAACUAUGGACCCGAAGAUCUGAAGUAAACUACUCACACUUCAUCGGAGAGACUAUGGUGUUGAUGUAGAAGCCCUCCGUGAUGGAUGCCCCCUCCGGCGGAGCUCCGGAACAAGCCCCAAGAUGGGAUCUCGUGGAUACAGAAGGUUGCAACGGUGGAAUUAGGUUUUUGGCUCCGUUUCUAAUCGUUUGGGGGUACGUAGGUAUAUAUAGGAGGAAGGAGUAUGUCGGUCGAGCAACAGGGGGCCCAUGAGGGUGGAGGGCGCGCCUAGGGGGGUAGGCGCGCCCCCUACCUCGUGGCUUCCCUGUUGGUUGCUUGACAUAGGGUCCAAGUCUCCUGGAUCUUGUUUGUCCCAAAAAUCACGUUCCCAAAUGUUUCAUUCCGUUUGGACUCCGUUUGAUAUUCUUUUUCUUCGAAACUCUAAAAUAGGCAAAAACAGCAAUUCUGGGCUGGGCCUCCGGUUAAUAGGUUAGUCCCAAAAAUAAUAUAAAAGUGGAUAAUAAAGACCAAUAAUGUCCGAGACAGUAGAUAAUAUAUCAUGGAGCAAUAAAAAAUUAUAGAUACGUUGGAGACGUAUCAAGCAUCCCCAAGCUUAAUUCCUGCUCGUCCUCGAGUAGGUAAAUGAUAAAAAAGAUAAUUUUUGAUGUGAAGUGCUACUUGGCAUAAUUUUAAUGUAAUUCUUCUUAAUUGUGGUAUGAAUAUUAAGAUUCGAAUCAUUCAAGAUAAAAGUUUAAUAUUGACAUAAAAAUAAUAAUACUUCAAGCAUACUAACAAAGCAAUCAUGUCUUCUCAAAAUAACAUGGCCAAAGAAAGUUAUCCCUACAAAAUCAUAUAGUCUGGCUAUGCUCUAUCUUCACCACACAAAGUAUUUAAAUCAUGCACAACCCUGAUGACAAGCCAAUCAAUUGUUUCAUACUUUUGACAUUCUCAAACUUUUUCAAUCUUCACGCAAUACAUGAGCGUGAGCCAUGGAUAUAGCACUAUAGGUGGAAUAGAAUGGUGGUUGUGAAGAAGACAAAAAGAGAGAAGAUAGUCUCAUAUCAAUUAGGCGUAUCAACGGGCUAUGGAGAUGCCAAUUAAUAGAUAUCAAUGUGAGUGAGUAGGAUUGCCAUGCAACGGAUGCAUUAGAGCUAUAAGUAUAUAAAAGCUCAAAAAAAACUAAGUGGGUGUGCAUCCAACUCGCUUGCUCAUGAAGACCUAGGGCAAUUUGAGGAAGCCCAUCAUUGAAAUAUACUUAUAGCAUUUACUUUGACUCAUCUCAAAAAGUAGGUAAAUAAAUGUCAUUAGUCCAGAUAGAAUCAUAAGGUUCGUGCUUCUAAACAUAUCUGAGGUUUCAACUUCUAAACAUAUCUAUAGUAUUAUGGACUAGAACUAUGCAGAAAAAUAAACAUCCAGUCAUCUUGCAUUACCUUCAUAAAAAGUGACAUAAUUGAGGUGACUUCAGUACCCCUUUUUGUGUAUACAUCAAGAUUUCUAACAAAAAAUGAUCGAAAACAUAGAGGUUACUUACAGAUCAUGCCAUAGGAGGGCACAUCCUAGUUAAAAACAAAUGCGAAUACAGUGUUUCUUGUUAACCUGGGACAUAUGUAACAAUGGAUGCAUGCACAAUGUAAUAGAAUCAGUCAAAUCUAGCAGCUGCAUAACAUUUUAGCACAUCAAAAGAGCAUAAUACAGGAAAAACGCCAUAAUUAUCAGUUCUUGUUUAAUCUCAGCGGGGC